CGCUGAGGGGGGGAGGGCAGCGACCGGCCCCGCGCCUCGGACCACCGGCUCUGGCCGCGGCAAGGCACCUCCGCCUCCUCCACGCGGAAAAAUCCUGCUCUGCCCGAGAAUGAGCCGCGUUUCCCGCUAAAGAUGCCUGUGUUUCUCCGGUGCUUACAUAGCGAGCCUGCUGAAAAAAAAUUGUUCUUAGAUUACCAUGAUCACGUGUCCAAGGCCUGAUUGUGACUCUGGAGUGAUGGGUGGCACAGAGACUUCAGGACUUUGCUAAUCACCUCCAUCCUCUCUCAGCCUCAAAGAGAAGUUUCAGAGUGGAAUAUGGAUGCUACGUGUGACCUAAGUGACUAUUAUCAUCUGCUUCACCUACUUGUGUGACUUUAAAUAGUUAAACAAACAAAAAGAUAAUAACAGGCAUCUGAAAGAAAUAAUAAUUAUAAUGGAAAGAAUAUUCAUUGCCAUUCCUGGUGAUACUGGCAUGACAUUUUAUGGUCUUUAUACAUCUUUCAAAAUGGUUUGCGAU
rnacentral:lncRNA from 1 species